rnacentral:lncRNA from 1 species
AUCUCCAGUGCGCAGGUUCCCUGCAGAGCGGGGCGCGUGCUCCCUUUAGCGGGGAGGGGACCUCGGUUUUCUCGAAGGGCCAGAUUGCCUUGGACAGUCUGUCCGCUGGGGUUGGAGGAGUUUGGCUGCCAGAUAGAUUCUCGGAUGGGGCAGCCUAGCAGAGUGUGUGUAAAACCCUUCCACCGUCAAGAGGGGAUCCAGGCAGCCUGCGUCCUGCCCGCUCCGGGGAGCGGAGGCGGGUGUUAGUGGUUAGAGGAAACUUUCCAGCAGAGCGCCUUGCUAGAGCAAACGGCGCAUCUGUCAGGAACGCUCUCUGGGCACUGUUCUUGCAAGGAGCUUCUGUUGUUCCAGUGCAGUAGAUGCAGAAAGGAAGCGAAGGUUUGUGCAUCUGACAGCUGACACUGAGGAUCGGUUGGAAAAAUACACACUCCCCAGUCCCAGCUAAUGAAUGUAUCGUGGCAUAAAGCAGAAAAAUCUUCGUUCUACACAAAGCCAAGAGUGGCAAAGGAGACAGCUUCCAAUCAGUGGAAAUUGAACAAUUGAAUAAAUGUGUUCUUUUUAAGUGGGAGAAGAUGUGGUAGAGAAUUUAAUUUGGGAGGUCAACGUGAACACUUUUUCAAACAAGGAGUUCUGCGAUUUUCAGGAAUAGACCUGGCACAAAGCAUCUCAGAAGGGUCUUGUGGCUGGGAGAAGAAAUGGAACACAGCCACACCGGAGCACCACCGCUCCACCUCUCCAGGACAGGAGGCGUUUUGUAGUCAGUGGAAGACAUGAAUGUCCCUCAUUACUCUUUUUGUAUGUGUGAGGGUGAUUUUGGGGGAAAAUACACAACCCAGGAGACAUCCAGACAGGGAGGCUGUUCUCACUGGCGACAUUUGUGCCGCAUUCUUCCUUGCUCCUGGUGUGCAUUGCAACACUCAGACGGGUGGCUCUGGGAGCCAAGUGGCUGAUUGGAAUCCCCAGGAGGCAGCAAAUACAAAUUAAUCUUCAGGCCCACCAGUUCCCCUGAAACAUACCACUUGUUAAACUAUGACUUCCAAGCCAAGAGCAGCAAUUUUCCACAGUUCAAGUCUGGAAAAGGCUAUGAAACCACAUGGGUCAGGAGACCAAAGAUGGUUUAUUGCUAUUUUGAAUGGAGCACCAGAAGGACAACUCCAAAAUUCCAGAUGUGCAGCAGCUGGAUAAAGUGGUGUCCACAAAUAUGUGUCGCAGCUUUAGAAAGGCAACUGCUGGAGGCUUUUAAAAACAGACCAUUGACUUCCUUCUCUUUUCUUUCCUUUUUUUUAAAAAAAAAAAAAAAGCUUAUCUGAACCUCUGGACUUACUUGUUU